UACAGAGGGUGCGAGCGUUAAUCGGAAUUACUGGGCGUAAAGCGCGCGUAGGCGGCUUUUCAAGUCGAUUGUGAAAUCCCCGGGCUUAACCUGGGAACUGCAGUCGAGACUGUCUAGCUAGAGUAUGGGAGAGGGAAGUGGAAUUUCAGGUGUAGCGGUGAAAUGCGUAGAUAUCUGAAGGAACAUCAGUGGCGAAAGCGGCUCACUGGAUCUCUUCUGACGCUGAGGCACGAAAGCUAGGGUAGCGAACGGG
rnacentral:rRNA from 1 species